AUUGUUCGUAGGACAAGUAAUAUACGGUGUUUGAUGUCAGAGAGCUUGUGGUUAGUGUGAACAAGAAUCAACCUAUAUAUGAAUCUACCUACUUAAUUGAAAGAACAAUCGGUAAUAACCGUUAUUUUAGUGAAGUGCAAUUUAGAUUUUAGUGUAUAACUAUAUCUAAAAUUGUUAAAUAGGGUGGCAACGCGUAGACCACGUCCCUUGU
rnacentral:ncRNA from 1 species